UCAUGGAGCUGAAAUCAGUCGAAGAUACCAGCUGGCUGCAACUGUUUAUUAAAAACACAGCACUGUGCAAACACGAAAGUGGACGUAUACGGUGUGACGCCUGCCCGGUGCCGGAAGGUUAAUUGAUGGGGUUAUCCGUAAGGAGAAGCUCUUGAUCGAAGCCCCGGUAAACGGCGGCCGUAACUAUAACGGUCCUAAGGUAGCGAAAUUCCUUGUCGGGUAAGUUCCGACCUGCACGAAUGGCGUAAUGAUGGCCAGGCUGUCUCCACCCGAGACUCAGUGAAAUUGAACUCGCUGUGAAGAUGCAGUGUACCCGCGGCAAGACGGAAAGACCCCGUGAACCUUUACUAUAGCUUGACACUGAACACUGGUCCUUGAUGUGUAGGAUAGGUGGGAGGCUUUGAAGUGUGGACGCCAGUCUGCAUGGAGCCAUCCUUGAAAUACCACCCUUUAAUGGCUGGUGUUCUAACGUGGACCCGUUACCCGGGUUGCGGACAGUGUCUGGUGGGUAGUUUGACUGGGGCGGUCUCCUCCUAAAGAGUAACGGAGGAGCACGAAGGUUAGCUAAUCCUGGUCGGACAUCAGGAGGUUAGUGCAAAGGCAUAAGCUAGCUUGACUGCGAGAGUGACGGCUCGAGCAGGUGCGAAAGCAGGUCUUAGUGAUCCGGUGGUUCUGAAUGGAAGGGCCAUCGCUCAACGGAUAAAAGGUACUCCGGGGAUAACAGGCUGAUACCGCCCAAGAGUUCAUAUCGACGGCGGUGUUUGGCACCUCGAUGUCGGCUCAUCACAUCCUGGGGCUGAAGUAGGUCCCAAGGGUAUGGCUGUUCGCCAUUUAAAGUGGUACGCGAGCUGGGUUUAGAACGUCGUGAGACAGUUCGGUCCCUAUCUGCCGUGGGCGCUGGAGAAUUGAGGGGGGCUGCUCCUAGUACGAGAGGACCGGAGUGGACGCAUCACUGGUGUUCGGGUUGUCAUGCCAAUGGCAUUGCCCGGUAGCUAAAUGCGGAAGAGAUAAGUGCUGAAAGCAUCUAAGCACGAAACUUGCCCCG
rnacentral:rRNA from 1 species